AGAGUUUGAUCAUGGCUCAGGGUAAACGCUGGCGGCGUGCCUAAAACAUGCAAGUCGAACGGUGUCCUUCGGGGCACAGUGGCAGACGGCUGAGUAACGCGUGGGUGACGUACCUGUUGGUGGGGAAUAACUGCCCGAAAGGGUGGCUAAUUCCGCAUACGCCUGCUUCUUCGGUGAAGUAGGGAAAGCAGUAAUGCGCCGAUGGAGCGGCCCGCGUUCGAUUAGCUAGUUGGUGGGGUAACGGCCUACCAAGGCGACGAUCGAUAGCUGGUCUCAGAGGAUGAUCAGCCAGACUGGGACUGAGACACGGCCCAGACUCCUACGGGAGGCAGCAGUUAGGAAUUUUGGGCAAUGGGCGCAAGCCUGACCCAGCAACGCCGCGUGGGUGACGAAGGCCUUCGGGUUGUAAAGCCCUUUUCUGGGGGAAGAUGAUGACGGUACCCCAGGAAGAAGCACCGGCUAACUACGUGCCAGCAGCCGCGGUAAUACGUAGGGUGCGAGCGUUGCCCGGAUUUAUUGGGCGUAAAGGGCGCGCAGGCGGUUCGGCACGUCCGUUGUGAAAUCGCUCGGCUCAACUGGGCGGGGUCAGCGGAUACGGUCGAACUUGAGCAAGCUAGGGGGCAAUGGAAUUCCCGGUGUAGUGGUGGAAUGCGUAGAUAUCGGGAGGAACCCAGUGGCGAAGGCGGUUGCCUGGAGCUUUGCUGACGCUGAGGCGCGAAAGCGUGGGGAGCGAUCCGGAUUAGAUACCCUAGUAGUCC
rnacentral:rRNA from 1 species